UUGCAAACUGGAGAUGGCGACCGGCGCACGGGUGAGUAACACGUAUCCAACCUGCCGAUAACUCGGGGAUAGCCUUUCGAAAGAAAGAUUAAUACCCGAUGGCAUAAUAGAACCGCAUGGUUUGAUUAUUAAAGAAUUUCGGUUAUCGAUGGGGAUGCGUUCCAUUAGGUUGUUGGCGGGGUAACGGCCCACCAAGCCUUCGAUGGAUAGGGGUUCUGAGAGGAAGGUCCCCCACAUUGGAACUGAGACACGGUCCAAACUCCUACGGGAGGCAGCAUG
rnacentral:rRNA from 1 species